UACGUAGGUGGCAAGCGUUGUUCGGAAUUAUUGGGCGUAAAGGGUGCGUAGGCGGUCGGGUAAGUCUGACGUGAAAUCUUCGAGCCUAACUCGGAAACUGCGUCGGAUACUAUUCGGCUAGAGGAAUGGAGGGGAGACUGGAAUACUUGGUGUAGCAGUGAAAUGCGUAGAUAUCAAGUGGAACACCAGUGGCGAAGGCGAGUCUCUGGACAUUUCCUGACGCUGAGGCACGAAAGCCAGGGAAGCAAACGGG
rnacentral:rRNA from 1 species